CACGUAGGGUGCGAGCGUUGUCCGGAAUUAUUGGGCGUAAAGAGCUCGUAGGCGGUGUGUCGCGUCGGCCGUGAAAACCUGGGGCUUAACUCUGGGCGUGCGGUCGAUACGGGCAUCACUGGAGUUCGGCAGGGGAGACUGGAAUUCCUGGUGUAGCGGUGAAAUGCGCAGAUAUCGAGGAGGAACACCGGUGGCGAAGGCGGGUCUCUGGGUAGUAACUGACGCUGGAG
rnacentral:rRNA from 1 species